rnacentral:lncRNA from 1 species
AUGUUUGGUAACAGAGCCAGUGACUUCACAGAAGCUGGUCUUAAUUCCACAUUUCUGAAGCUCAGGGAAGAGCAGAGCCAGCCAGGAGAGAAUGUGGAGGCAGAGGAAGACAAUAGUUCCCUUGGAAGAGCUGUGACUACUAGAAAAGUACUGUCCUGGGGCUGCAGUAUUCUAUCUGGCCAGAAGACGCCAGUGAAUGGAUGUCCUGACUUCCUACCUGGCAAUGAAGUGGUCAAGAAAUGUUUAUCAAGCACCUACUAUGUGUGAGUCCAGAGGCUAGGUACUGGGGAUAUAGAGAAAUAAUUAAAUACUCUAUGGAUCCCAGGAGCUUAAAUCCUAUUCGUGGAGAAAACAUAUACAUAUUUAUGUUUAAAACAUAAUGAAUUCAAGAUUGGGGGGAAAGGAGGAACUCAAUAUUUGAGUGCAGAGAGCUUACAAAAGUCCAUAAAUAGGACAAGAUGACAUGUUAGCUGGGUUUCAAAGGAAACUAAGAAUUGCAAGAGGCAAAAGUGAGAAUGGAUUGAAUUCCGAGCCAUAGCGAAGAAGCUUAUGGAGAAGAAAGGAUUUGUUGUGGGUGAAGAAUAGCAACGAGGUUAAUAUGCCUGGGUCUUAGAGUGUUGUUACAAGGGAAUCACUUUAAAAGACUGAUAUAUAUUAAUUUAAUGUCGCCAAGGAAUCAGCUAUGUAAUUCCUAAAUGAAAAACUCAAGUCAGCCGUCAGCCUUUUUUGGAGUUUAAUUACAAUAGGAGUAAGAAAGGAAUUAGAGAUAUAUAUAUAGAGAGAAGGGAAUAGGGCUUAAAUACCCCUUCUGUUUUAGGCUGGGCCAAAAGGCCCAAGCCCUUAGAUAGCUGGGGCAAAGAAAAAAGAUCAGUCCCUAUUACUCACGUGUCCAAAAUGGAGAAACAGUCUCAGAGGCCCUCACCUUCAGCUUCCUUCAGCGCAAGCUUCCUCAGAGCCCAGGAACCACACCGCUCAAAAACUCCACAACCUCCAGUCUCCAGACCCUCCUAUCUUUAAGGACACCAUCCAAGUUGCCUCCCCUCAGUCCUCACAUCUACCAAUCACUCUUCAUCAAUUUCCCUGUCAAUGGAGGCUCUCGCUUAACCCAGGACCGCCCAGAGGUUUCUGGCUUUUGCACAUGUCUGUUGAAGGUCAUAUUUUCAAAUGAUUAAAUCUAUACUCCUUUGUUACAGCCCUUUCUAAAUCCUGUUAACUUGAGUAUGGUAGAGAUUUAGAAAUAAUUAAAUUUUGAUCUAGGCUGCAGCCCUUACUCAAUCCUAUUAGGACUGAAUAGGGUGGAGAUUUAUUCCAAGUAUCUCCAUUGUAUCAAUUCUAAAAUCAAUCAAGACUCAAAGAAAUUCCUGUUCUAUGCUCAAGCAUAGGUCAAAGUCCUUUCCAUUGUUCAGCAAAGGGUUUCUGUCCUAAAGUAAUCUUAAGAAGGGAAGAGAAGGAACCUCCCAUGCCAAUGGGGUUCCCAUUCCAAUAGACUAUCAGUAAGAAAUUUUCCAAGUAUGAAAUAUCCCAAUGGUGAAAUUUCCAACAUUUAUAAGUCUAAGGAAUUUUGAGGUUUACAAUCCCCCCUGAUGAUCAUUGGGAGACUAGUCUCCCCAUUGAUCAUUUAACAUAAUCAUUUUGUAGUUCUAAAUUCACUUCUAACUAAAGAUAUACACAAUAUUCAAUUUUCUAAGAGAAAUUAGAAUAGUGAGAGAGGAAAUAGAAAAGAAAAGAAAGCAAAACCAAUGUUUGCUAGGCGCAUUGACAGAAAGCCAAAUUAGGGGCAGUCCCUUUUGGCAUAAAUGUUACAAUAAAUGUUCAAUCAAAAGUUCA